ACGGAAGGCAGCAGUGGGGAAUAUUGGGCAAUGGAGGAAACUCUGACCCAGCAACGCCGCGUGAAGGAUGAAGGUCUUCGGAUUGUAAACUUCUUUUAUAGGGAAAAAAUAAAGUGAUGGUACCCUAUGAAUAAGCUACGGCAAACUAUGUGCCAGCAGCCGCGGUAAUACAUAGGUAGCAAGCGUUAUCCGGAAUAACUGGGCGUAAAGGGAGCGUAGGUGGCGAGGUAAGUCUUAUGUGAAAUCCCUUGGCUUAACCAAGGAACUGCAUAAGAUACUGCUUUGCUAGAGUGCGAGAGAGGUAAGUGGAAUUCCUAGUGUAGCGGUAGAAUGCGUAGAGAUUAGGAGGAACACCAGUGGCGAAGGCGGCUUUCUGGACUGUAACUGACGCUGAGGUACGAAAGUGUGGGGAGCAAACAGGAUUAGAUACCCUGGUA
rnacentral:rRNA from 1 species